ensembl:lncRNA
CAUGUGGGCUGGAAUUGUAUAUUUCCCUUCCCCAUGUCAGUUAGGCUCUAACAGUAUAGCAGGUUAGAUUUGGUUAUUAGUUUCUCCUGAGGCAGACCUUAUUAAGAACAGAGUAACCUGGCAUAUUUCCAAAUUGUUCCUUUUCCCUUCUUUUUGCAGGAAGCAGAGGGGCUUCUUUCUUCAGUGUUUACUGUGGGAACCUGGUCAACCUCCUGGAAGUAAAUCUCCCAAUAUUGCAGGGUACCCCCUUCACCAGCAGCUGGUUCUUUAUGAAGUUUUUAACUCUCAAGAGUUGGCCACACUGGGCCUUCAGCAACUCGUCAACUGCAGUUUCAGUUUUCCUACCAUGGGAUUUGUUCCUGGGGCAGCUUCAUUCUUGAGUGUCUGCUCUGGUGGCACAGUGUUAAAGAAUCUACCUUCCACUGCAGGAGAUGAAAGAGACACAGUUUCGAUCCCUGGGUUGGGAAGAUACCCUAGAGCAGGAAAUGGCAACCCACUCCAGUAUUCUUGUCUGAAGAAUCCCAUGGACAGAGGAGCCCAAUAGGUGGCAGUUCAUAGGGUUGCACAGUUGGACAUGACUGACUUGACUUAGCAUGAAUUCUUUAUAUAUUUAAAUUUAGAUAUUUUAAAAGUAAUAGUGACAUAUAUACUUUAUUUUCUUUGUUCCUGUAUAUGUGAAGUUUUUAUUUUUAUUAAAAUGAUAUUGAAAUAUAACAUAUAAC